rnacentral:rRNA from 1 species
GAGUUUGAUCAUGGCUCAGGAUGAACGCUGGCGGCGUGCUUAACACAUGCAAGUCGAACGAACCUUCGGGUUAGUGGCGGACGGGUGAGUAACGCGUGAGAAUCUGCCCUCAGGAGGGGGAUAACAGCUGGAAACGGCUGCUAAUACCCCAUAUGCCGCGAGGUGAAAUGAAUUUCGCCUGAGGAUGAGCUCGCGUCUGAUUAGCUAGUUGGUGUAGGUAAAGGCUCACCAAGGCAUCGAUCAGUAGCUGGUCUGAGAGGAUGAUCAGCCACACUGGGACUGAGACACGGCCCAGACUCCUACGGGAGGCAGCAGUGGGGAAUUUUCCGCAAUGGGCGAAAGCCUGACGGAGCAACGCCGCGUGAGGGAUGAAGGCCUCUGGGCUGUAAACCUCUUUUCUCAAGGAAGAAGAUCUGACGGUACUUGAGGAAUAAGCCACGGCUAAUUCCGUGCCAGCAGCCGCGGUAAUACGGGAGUGGCAAGCGUUAUCCGGAAUUAUUGGGCGUAAAGCGUCCGCAGGCGGCCCUUCAAGUCUGCUGUUAAAACGUGGAGCUUAACUCCAUCAUGGCAGUGGAAACUGUUGGGCUUGAGUGUGGUAGGGGCAGAGGGAAUUCCCGGUGUAGCGGUGAAAUGCGUAGAUAUCGGGAAGAACACCAGUGGCGAAGGCGCUCUGCUGGGCCAUAACUGACGCUCAUGGACGAAAGCCAGGGGAGCGAAAGGGAUUAGAUACCCCUGUAGUCCUGGCCGUAAACGAUGAACACUAGGUGUCGGGGGAAUCGACCCCCUCGGUGUCGUAGCCAACGCGUUAAGUGUUCCGCCUGGGGAGUACGCACGCAAGUGUGAAACUCAAAGGAAUUGACGGGGGCCCGCACAAGCGGUGGAGUAUGUGGUUUAAUUCGAUGCAACGCGAAGAACCUUACCAGGGUUUGACAUCCUGCGAACCUCUUGGAAACGAGAGGGUGCCUUCGGGAACGCAGUGACAGGUGGUGCAUGGCUGUCGUCAGCUCGUGUCGUGAGAUGUUGGGUUAAGUCCCGCAACGAGCGCAACCCACGUCUUUAGUUGCCAGCAUUUAGUUGGGCACUCUAGAGAGACCGCCGGUGAUAAACCGGAGGAAGGUGUGGAUGACGUCAAGUCAUCAUGCCCCUUACAUCCUGGGCUACACACGUACUACAAUGCUACGGACAAAGGGCAGCAAGUUCGCGAGGACAAGCAAAUCCCAUAAACCGUGGCUCAGUUCAGAUCGUAGGCUGCAACUCGCCUACGUGAAGGAGGAAUCGCUAGUAAUCGCAGGUCAGCAUACUGCGGUGAAUACGU